UCCACGAAAAAGGCAAAAUCUACACCAGCACCCAAAGGCACAAAGGGACGCGGGAGGGGAAGAAAAAGUGAAAAGGUGGAGGAGGCCGAAGAAAAACAAGAAUCAACA